UGAUUGUCGGGUGGACGGUAGUCUUAACAAAGGUAGUGGUGCGAGCCAACGACUGCUCGCCAUGUUUGCGCUAACUGCACGGCGAUUCAUCAUGAAGUAUGAGCCGAUCGAAUUUCACUUGAUUCUUUCUGGACUUGGCCGAAGAUAUCCACAGGGNNNNNNCUUUUGCAGGCGAGUCAGGGGCAGUCCGGGUCGGCGCAUGUCGUCGUGCUGGGCAACGAGAAGGGCGGGUCGGGCAAGUCCACCACCGCGCUUCACGUCGCCGUUGCCUUGCUCAAAGCCGGGCAGCGCGUUGCCACGAUCGACCUCGACUCGCGCCAGAAGAGCUUCACCCGCUACAUCGAGAAUCGCCGG
rnacentral:misc_RNA from 1 species